CCGGAUAGCAGGCGGGAGGGUAACCUGCAGGAGGAUAUCCACCAGGUGGAGGAUAUGCAGGUGGCGGGUAUGCGCCUGGAGGAGGAGGAUAGCCUGCGGGUGGGUAUCCACCAUGUGGAGGAUAGCCGGAAGGCGGGUAACCUUGUGGUGGAUAUCCAUAUCCUUGAGGUGGAUAUGCCCCAUAGCCUACGUGGUGAUGGCCCCCGGCAUAUCCAGCAAGAUGAGAAAACAGUCCUUUGUCAUCACUUCCAUGCCUGUCCCCCAUUUUUCUUUUCAAUUCAAUUAUCAGAGCCUGGAACGCAACAAGCACAACAAGGAUGUAAAUAUUCAGAAUAGAUAAAUCAGCUAGGUAAAAUGGAGAACCAUAGUUUU
rnacentral:lncRNA from 1 species